CGAUGAUCCAGGAGCUUGCUCCUGGGGAUUAGUGGCGAACGGGUGAGUAACACGUGAGCAAUCUGCCCUUGACUCUGGGAUAAGCGCUGGAAACGGCGUCUAAUACCGGAUACGACCCUCGGAGGCAUCUCCUGGGGGUGGAAAGAACUUCGGUCAAGGAUGAGCUCGCGGCCUAUCAGCUUGUUGGUGAGGUAAUGGCUCACCAAGGCGACGACGGGUAGCCGGCCUGAGAGGGUGACCGGCCACACUGGGACUGAGACACGGCCCAGACUCCUACGGGAGGCAGCAGUGGGGAAUAUUGCACAAUGGGCGCAAGCCUGAUGCAGCAACGCCGCGUGAGGGACGACGGCCUUCGGGUUGUAAACCUCUUUUAGCAGGGAAGAAGCGAGAGUGACGGUACCUGCAGAAAAAGCACCGGCUAACUACGUGCCAGCAGCCGCGGUAAUACGUAGGGUGCAAGCGUUGUCCGGAAUUAUUGGGCGUAAAGAGCUCGUAGGCGGUCUGUCGCGUCUGCUGUGAAAACCCGAGGCUCAACCUCGGGCUUGCAGUGGGUACGGGCAGACUAGAGUGCGGUAGGGGAGAUUGGAAUUCCUGGUGUAGCGGUGGAAUGCGCAGAUAUCAGGAGGAACACCGAUGGCGAAGGCAGAUCUCUGGGCCGUAACUGACGCUGAGGAGCGAAAGCGUGGGGAGCAAACAGGCUUAGAUACCCUGGUAGUCCACGCCGUAAACGUUGGGAACUAGAUGUGGGGACCAUUCCACGGUCUCCGUGUCGUAGCUAACGCAUUAAGUUCCCCGCCUGGGGAGUAC
rnacentral:rRNA from 1 species